rnacentral:rRNA from 1 species
GAUGAACGCUGGCGGCGUGCCUAAUACAUGCAAGUCGAGCGAACAGAUGUGGAGCUUGCUCCUCUGACGUUAGUGGCGGACGGGUGAGUAACACGUGGAUAACCUACCUAUAAGACUGGGAUAACUUCGGGAAACCGGAGCUAAUACCGGAUAAUAUAUUGAACCGCAUGGUUCAAUAGUGAAAGACGCUUUUGCUUCCACUUAUAGAUGAAUCCCCUCCGAAUUAGCUAGUUGGUAAGGUAACGGCUUACCAAGGCAACGUACCUAAGCCGACCUGAGAGGGUGAUCGGCCACACUGGAACUGGACCCGGGUCCGGAUUCCUACGGGAGGCAGCAGUAGGGAUUCUUCGGCAAUGGGCGAAAGCCUGACGGAGCAACGCGGCGUGAGGGAUGAAGGUCUUCGGAUCGUAAAACUCUGUUAUUGGGGAGGAAGAAAUGUGUAAGUAACUAUGCACGUCUUGACGGUACCUAAUCAGAAAGCCACGGCUAACUACGUG